rnacentral:lncRNA from 1 species
AAAUAAAGAGAAAAGAAAAAAUUUAUUACCAUUUCUCCUUCUCCCCUCACUCAAUCAACUGAAAUUCUAGACGAAGAUCCCUUCCUCUCGUCCUCCUCCACUACCACAGCCAACGAGGUAGAGUUCUGGCGGUUGCUAAAUGCUUAAAUAAAUAUUGGUAAAUUAGCAGCACUCUUUUUAGCUUAUAGCGACACUCUUUAACUGUCACUAUAUACCUAGCGACCCCACAUAUAGCAACACUUUUUAAAAGUGUCGGUAAUUUAGCCAGCUGCAUUUCUUUUGACCUGUACCGAUAUUUAAAAGUGUCGCUAUAGACCGUUUUUGUUGUAGUGCCUGCAAAUACAAAGGAAAGUCUGUCCGAGCGGACAGAGGAACUUUGUAUUUGUGGCUGGUCUGUACGUCACGUGGGUCGGUUGAAAAAAAAA